rnacentral:rRNA from 1 species
ACGCUGGCGGCACGCCUAACACAUGCAAGUCGAACGCAGUAGCAAUACUGAGUGGCAAACGGGUGAGUAUAAUGUGGGAAUCUGCCUUUUGGUUUGGAAUAACACGGGGAAACUUGUGCUAAUACCGAAUAAGCCUUUACAGGGAAAGUUUUAAUGCCGAAAGAUGAGCCCGCACUUGAUUAGCUAGUUGGUAAGGUAAAAGCUUACCAAGGCAAUGAUCAAUAGCUGUUCUUAGAGGAAGACCAGCCACAUUGGGACUGAGACACGGCCCAGACUCCUACGGGAGGCAGCAGUGGGGAAUCUUGCACAAUGGGGGAAACCCUGAUGCAGCGAUGCCGCGUGAGUGAAGAAGGCCCUUGGGUUGUAAAACUCUUUCGUCGGGGAAGAAAAUGACUGUACCCGAAUAAGAAGGUCCGGCUAACUUCGUGCCAGCAGCCGCGGUAAUACGAAGGGACCUAGCGUAGUUCGGAAUUACUGGGCUUAAAGAGCUCGUAGGUGGUUAAAAAAGUUGAUGGUGAAAUCCCAAGGCUUAACCUUGGAACUGCCAUCAAAACUUUUUAGCUAGAGUGUGAUAGAGGUAAGUGGAAUUUCUAGUGUAGAGGUGAAAUUCGUAGAUAUUAGAAAGAACACCAAAUGCGAAGGCAACUUACUGGGUCACUACUGACACUGAGGAGCGAAAGCAUGGGUAGCGAAGAGGAUUAGAUACCCUCGUAGUCCAUGCCGUAAACGAUGUGUGCUAGACGUUGGAAAUAUAUUUUUCAGUGUCGCAGCGAAAGCAUUAAGCACACCGCCUGGGGAGUACGA